GAUGAACGCUGGCGGCGUGCCUAAUACAUGCAAGUCGAGCGAACAGAUGAGGAGCUUGCUCCUCUGACGUUAGCGGCGGACGGGUGAGUAACACGUGGAUAACCUACCUAUAAGACUGGGAUAACUUCGGGAAACCGGAGCUAAUACCGGAUAAUAUCUUGAACCGCAUGGUUCAAUAGUGAAAGACGGUUUUGCUGUCACUUAUAGAUGGAUCCGCGCUGCAUUAGCUAGUUGGUAAGGUAACGGCUUACCAAGGCAACGAUGCGUAGCCGACCUGAGAGGGUGAUCGGCCACACUGGAACUGAGACACGGUCCAGACUCCUACGGGAGGCAGCAGUAGGGAAUCUUCCGCAAUGGGCGAAAGCCUGACGGAGCAACGCCGCGUGAGUGAUGAAGGUCUUCGGAUCGUAAAACUCUGUUAUUAGGGAAGAACAAAUGUGUAAGUAACUAUGCACGUCUUGACGGUACCUAAUCAGAAAGCCACGGCUAACUACGUG
rnacentral:rRNA from 1 species